AUUGAACGCUGGCGGCAGGCCUAACACAUGCAAGUCGAACGAGUGGCGGACGGGUGAGUAAUGUCUGGGAAACUGCCUGAUGGAGGGGGAUAACUACUGGAAACGGUAGCUAAUACCGCAUACCAUCGGAUGUGCCCAGAUGGGAUUAGCUAGUAGGUGGGGUAAAGGCUCACCUAGGCGACGAUCCCUCGCUGGUCUGAGAGGAUGACCACAAACGCGGGAACUGAGCGACGGUCCAGAGGCCUACGGGAGGCAGCAGUGGGAAAGAUUGCACAAUGGGCGCAAGCCUGAUGCAGCCAUGCGGCGUGUAUGAAGAAGGCCUUCGGGUUGUAAAGUACUUUCAGCGGGGAGGCGUUACCCGCAGAAGAAGCACCGGCUAACUCCGUGCCAGCAGCCGCGGUAAUAC
rnacentral:rRNA from 1 species